rnacentral:lncRNA from 1 species
CUGCAGCUUGGUUUGGCAGCACGUUUCCCCACUGUGCUGCAGUGGCUUUGGAAUGGCAAGGAAAUCUCUCCAUGCGCUCCAUGUCCUUGCACAGCCAACCAGCACGCGCUCCCACCAUCCCUGCUAAAGGUAUUGCUGAAAAUUGGCCAAACAUGGAUGUUUGCAGUUCAGGCGGUCCCCUCUUGCUGCUGAAUUAUCCUUGCACAAUAAGGAUCUGCAGUUCAACGCUCAUUGAGAGUGAGUGAGACCAUCCCCCAACUGCUGAGUGGACUGAAGCCCUUCAUCACACCGCCGUGAUCCAGCUCUGCGCUGAAGAUCUUUUCUGCACUGGGAGCAGGGGCACCUUCACCCGCCUUCCUCAGAGGAGAGUUUUUUAUAAACACUGAUGCGUAACGACAUUGAGAAGGAGGGUGAGUUUUGUUGGUUUGAUUUAAACUUCUUCAAUCCUUUACGUUCACAAAAAAUGCGUUAGCGUAAACAAAACCGACUUCCCUGUAGAACCUGCAUUUCACUAUUGGCACGAGAUAAGUGUGAUAAGCAGAUCAAAUGUACCUUUAUUUCAUCAUGUUAGUGCAGUAAUAUCACGUGACAGAUGAGAUAGUCUUUAUUCACUUCCUCGUACUUUGGACAAAGUUGACAAAUGCUGAAAAUGCGUUGAGGAAGAUAAAAUGAUAUUUCAUGCUACUGUUUGAUUUUUGUCUUGCAUUCCUGCAUUGAAACCCACUUGUUCCAAGCUGCAUUAUGUAACCUUGAGGAGGAAAGCUGGAUUUGAGCACGCCGCAAUUAAGCCCGUAUUGUAAAUAACUGCAGGAGAGCUUGUGGGAGCACCCGAGUGCUGGACGCUUCUUCAAAACACAGAUGGAUUUUCCAUUCAUGGUUUACACUUUGCUGCAGGGUGAGUCCAUAACACCUGAGUUUUCCUUUGAGAUGUCGUCCUUGGCCAGCCAGUGCUGGUGGAGGAGCUGCAGAAGGCACAUGCUAGUGAGGACAGCGUGGAAACCCACUCAGCCCUCAGCUCCCAUACAGAUAGGCUUUGAGCAGCUGGGCCAGCCUGGUCUGAUGGGCCGUCAGGAUGAGCAGGAAUUUCCAGAGCAUCCUGUUGCACAGAGCUGGUGGGGUGAUGAUGGCACAGACUGGGCUCCAAGCUCUGCUCUUCUCCUUGGGCAGCUCUCCGUCCUGUACUGCUGCGUUGAGUGUCACACCCAAGGAAAGAGCCACCUGGUACAGCAGCAGGGGAAGAGCUACAAUAUAGUUGGAAUGAAACUGGGAUGA